AUGUGCACCACUGUUCCCAGCCUCACCACUAUUUUCAUUAUUUCCACCAUCAUCACUACCACCUCCAGCUCUACCACCAUCACCACCAUCACCUUCACUACCUCAUCCACCUUCACAUCCACCACUAUCACCACCUCUACUACCACCAUCACCACCUCUACUGCCACCAUUACCUCCACUACCACCCCCACUACCACUACCACCACCAUCACUACCAUCAUUCCACUACCACCAUCACCACCUCUACUACCACCAUCACCUCCACUACCACCCCCACUACCACUACCACCACCAUCACUACCAUCAUUCCACUACCACCUUCACCACCUCUACUACCACCAUCACCUCCACUACCACCACCAUCACUGCCAUCAUUCCGCUACCACCUUCACCACCUCUACUGCCACCAUCACCUCCACUACCACCUCCACCACCCCUACUACCACCAUCACUGCCAUCAUUCCACUACCACCAUCACCACCUCUACUGCUACCAUCACCUCCACUACCACCUCCACCACCACUACUACCACCAUCACUACCAUCAUUCCACUACCACCUUCACCACCUCUUCUGCCCCCAUCACCUCCACUACCACCUCCACCACCACUAUCAUCACUCCACCACCACCAUCACCUCCACUACCACCACUACCACCACCAUCACUGCCAUCAUUCCACUACCACCAUCACCACCUCUACCGCCACCAUCACCUCCACCACCACUACCAUCACCACCAUCACCUCCACUACCACCUCCACCACCACCAUCACCACCUCUACCGCCAUUACCUCCACUACCACCUCCACCACCACUACUACCACCAUCACUACCAUCAUUCCACUACCACCUUCACCACCUCUACCACCACCAUCACCUCCACUACCACCAUCACUACCAUCAUUCCACUACCACCUUCACCACCUCUACCACCACCAUCACUACCAUCACCUGCACUGCCUCCUCCACCUCGACAUCUACCACAUCACUACCAUCACUCCAUUACCACCAUCACCACCUCUAUCACCACCACAACCACCAUCUCCACCACUACCACUUCCACCUUUAUCACCAUGGCUAUUACCACCUCCUCUACUACCUCUAUUACUGUUAUUACUACCCUCUUACAACCACAUCACUAUCACCACCUCCAUAA
ensembl:lncRNA